rnacentral:rRNA from 1 species
GCAAAGUCGAAGGAACUUCCGUUAAUUGAUUAUGACGUGCUUGCACUGAAUGAGAUUUUAACACGAAGUGAGUGGCGGACGGGUGAGUAACACGUGGGUAACCUGCCCAGAAGCAGGGGAUAACACCUGGAAACAGAUGCUAAUACCGUAUAACAGAGAAAACCGCCUGGUUUUCUUUUAAAAGAUGGCUCUGCUAUCACUUCUGGAUGGACCCGCGGCGCAUUAGCUAGUUGGUGAGGUAACGGCUCACCAAGGCGAUGAUGCGUAGCCGACCUGAGAGGGUAAUCGGCCACAUUGGGACUGAGACACGGCCCAGACUCCUACGGGAGGCAGCAGUAGGGAAUCUUCCACAAUGGACGCAAGUCUGUUGGAGCAACGCCGCGUGAGUGAAGAAGGGUUUCGGCUCGUAAAGCUCUGUUGUUAAAGAAGAACGUGGGUGAGAGUAACUGUUCACCCAGUGACGGUAUUUAACCAGAAAGCCACGGCUAACUACGUGCCAGCAGCCGCGGUAAUACGUAGGUGGCAAGCGUUAUCCGGAUUUAUUGGGCGUAAAGCGAGCGCAGGCGGUCUUUAAAGUCUAAUGUGAAAGCCUUCGGCUCAACCGAAGGAGUGCAUUGGAAACUGGGAGACUUGAGUGCAGAAGAGGACAGUGGAACUCCAUGUGUAGCGGUGAAAUGCGUAGAUAUAUGGAAGAACACCAGUGGCGAAGGCGGCUGUCUUACCAGG